rnacentral:rRNA from 1 species
CGGACGGGUGAGUAAUGUCUGGGAAACUGCCUGAUGGAGGGGGAUAACUACUGGAAACGGUAGCUAAUACCGCAUAACGUCGCAAGACCAAAGAGGGGGACCGUUAGGGCCUCUUGCCAUCGGAUGUGCCCAGAUGGGAUUGGCUAGUAGGUGGGGUAACGGCUCACCUAGGCGACGAUCCCUAGCUGGUCUGAGAGGAUGACCAGCCACACUGGAACUGAGACACGGUCCAG